GCUCCUGACAACAAAGAACACACUGCAUGAAGACAAACAGGCUGGUGCAGGUGAAAUAAGAGAUGAGUUUGCUAUUGAUUACUAUUUCAACAACUUCUCUAUCAUCAGAGCCUUUAUUAAAGAACAUUGUUACCAUUGUGGUCUUGCAAAUAAGUACACAUCAGCAUGAGUACGAAGUGUUUUAGUUCAUCAGUUUAAGAACAGCAGGUAAUGAAAAGGAUUCUUAUGGAUCUAUUUAUUUUUCUACUUUUGCUAGGCAUCAUUACUACACCCCGAUAUAUAUCUAUAUAUAUCCUAAAUAAAAGCACACUGUAUCUAUAAAGUGUGCUUUUAGGGUUAAGAAUGGCAAUCCUUUCUGAUUCUGCUCGGUUUGUAAGAAAAGUCAGAUCAUCUCAAAAUCCAAGGAACAGCAGCACUAGGAGAAAUUCAACUCUGACAUCCCAACAGUCCCCUGCUGUUCCCAGGGCACCAGUAUCCUAGGCACUAACUGCUAAAGGAUUCAAUUAGUGGCACCCCUCGUGCCAACACUGCUCUGCUGCCAGGAAUGAUGCCCACGUCUGGCAUGUAAAGCACCUGGAAUGCUUGCAGGCUCCAAGAAUCAGGCUGGCUUUUCUUAUACUACAGUGAUAUUACUAGCUACUCAGACAGAAAGAACCUAAGACACAAAAAGGUCUAAGGAAAGAACUGAUCUUGCAAGCUAGAGCCCUCUAUGCAGUGUGCUUUUUAUACGCAAGACAAUAAUUAACAUACAUCGACACACAGUGUUCACUGGUGCUUCAACUACUGCCCUUUGAAACAAGAUGUUCACACCUCAGAGCUGGUUUUGGAGCUGUCUACUGAUU